GCACUGCUGAGGAGUCCCAUACUGUGACGAAACGGCCGUCCAGUGC
rfam:Schistosoma margrebowiei strain Zambia genome assembly, scaffold: SMRZ_contig0001419